rnacentral:tRNA from 1 species
CAGAUUAUAUUUUAGAUAAAAUUUUCAUUUACAUUGAAGGGAUUGUUGUGCAAUUCAACAUAAUUUGA